rnacentral:rRNA from 1 species
AUACGUAGGUGCCAAGCGUUAUCCGGAUUUACUGGGCGUAAAGGGCGUGUAGGCGGUCUUGCAAGUCAGAAGUGAAAUUCCUGAGCUCAACUCGGGCGCUGCUUCUGAAACUGCAGGACUUGAGUGCUGGAGGGGAUAGCGGAAUUCCUAGUGGAGCGGUAAAAUGCGCAGAUAUUAGGAAGGACACCGGUGGCGAAGGCGGGUAUCUGGCCAGUAACUGACGCUGAGGCGCGAAAGCGUGGGGAGCAAACUGGUUUAGAUACCCUGGUAGUCCGCGCCGGAAAGGGUGAAUCCUAGGUGUAGGGGGUAUCCACUCCCUCUGGGCCGCAGUUAACAAAUUAAGUAUUCCGCCUGGGGGGUACGGCCGCAAGGGUGAAACUCAAAUGAAUUGACGGG